CCUUUUCAUUCCUUUAUUUGGCUUUAACCAAUCUAUUUUCGAAUCACCACUUGUAUUGAUAUUAGAAUUAACAACUCCCAAUUUAUCGUAACUUCUUCGAAUUUAUGCGCUUCAAACUUGAGUUUGAAGAUGGUCCAACCAAGAUUAUCACCGAUGACAAUCCAACUCAUGAAUCAUCCGAAACUCAAAAGUGCUAAUUUCAAUUUAGUUUUUCUCACGAAUUGCG
rnacentral:lncRNA from 1 species